rnacentral:rRNA from 1 species
AACGAACGCUGGCGGCAUGCCUAACACAUGCAAGUCGAACGAGACCUUCGGGUCUAGUGGCGCACGGGUGCGUAACGCGUGGGAAUCUACCCUUGGGUUCGGAAUAACUCAGAGAAAUUUGAGCUAAUACCGGAUGAUGUCGCAAGACCAAAGAUUUAUCGCCCAAGGAUGAGCCCGCGUAGGAUUAGCUUGUUGGUGAGGUAAAAGCUCACCAAGGCGACGAUCCUUAGCUGGUCUGAGAGGAUGAUCAGCCACACUGGGACUGAGACACGGCCCAGACUCCUACGGGAGGCAGCAGUGGGGAAUAUUGGACAAUGGGCGAAAGCCUGAUCCAGCAAUGCCGCGUGAGUGAUGAAGGCCUUCGGGUUGUAAAGCUCUGUGGAGAGGGACGAAUAAGUGUCGUCGAAUAGACGGCAUGAUGACGGUACCUUUUUAGUCAAGCACCGGCUAACUCUGUGCCAGCAGCCGCGGUAA